UCCCGUUUAACUGCCACAAGAGUUGUCCAUCUUGUAAGUUUAACUGCCACAAGAGUUGUUCAUCUUGUAAUAAAUAUCUCAAUGAGGAAACACGCUGUGUUUUUUCUAUUUUCACUGCAUUUUAAUAUAGCCUAUAAAUAGUGAAUUUUAAUAUAAAAAUAUUAAUGAUUAAUCGAAAAUCGAUCGUUAAUUCUCCCGACGAUCGAUUAAGACAAUUUAAUCGAAUGCCCAUCCCUAGCGCACACACACACACACAAUAUAAACAGAAUACAGUAUGCAUACAAACCCCCUCAUUACACACAAACACGCAAACAUACAGACUCUCACACACAAAAACAUCAUAAAUAAGGUCACACUCACAAACACACUAAGUCUGCCAGAAGAGUGUCAGUCUCUUUGCGUGGCAUGAGUCGGGGACAUUUUUUCCAUUUGCCGUCGACAGGGUCUUAAAUUACAGUCACAGCGCCGAGCCCUUGUGGCCUGGGUACUCCUCCUGUGGGUUGAACCCACAACAGUGCCGACUCACUGUUUACUCUGAGCAGCAGUGUCAUUCCACAACCUUCAGUCUGCAAGGGGGGGAUGGAAACUGGAGCAUGGUGGAGGAUGGCACGGAAUGGCUGACAAUGGACCAGGAAGAAGCAUCCAUCUAUGGGGAUUCAUACUCCUGACACACGUCUCUGAGGGGAGUGCGUGUGUGUGUGCGUCUGUCUGUGUGUGUGUGUUUGGCCCCCAAGUAAUUAAAGAGAAAGGGUGGAGAGCUAUGAGACUGUCCCAGAGGUUUUGCUUUACCCAGAGGUUUUGCUUCAGCCAGUUGUGUGGACUGCGGACUUGUGUUGAUUGGCUGGGAUUGUUUAUGGUUCGGUCCGAGACACUAUGUUUGUUUCACAUCCACAGAGCCAGGGCUGGUUCUCUGAGCGCAAACAUUAAACAGAGAGCUAAAGGACCGUGAGGGGCAAUUUGUUGAAUGUGAAAAAAAGGUUAUGGACUCCACCUUUAACAAACACACAUAAUAUGUUCAAUAACAAACACUUAAAACCAUGAACACACACACAGGUCACUCUGCUCCCAGCUGAGCACUUGACCCCAUCCAUGAGAAAGUGGUCACAUUUUUGCGUUGGAGGGUGAAACUGCUCUAUUAUUUCCUCAUGAGAAAACUUACAUGCACAAACUGUCUGUAACAAACACACACAUACACAAAACACAAACACACACACACUCCCCCCUCACAAAACAGUUACCCAUACAAAGAAAAUUAGAAUUGAGCAGUGAAUGUGGAUCUGAAACAAGAACUCUGCAUUUUAGUGUGUGUGUGUGUGUGUGUGUGUACAUUCUGGGCCACAAUGCCACAAUGAGGACAUUAUCAGAUGGUGCGCACGCUCACACACACACACUCACUAUGUUAAACACAGGCACACACAGUCCACAGAAAACCCCUCAGAGUGCCACUGAAAAGAAGCACUGAGGCCCAUAGAAGAAGUGAGAGAUUCGAAGGAUAAGAGAGGAAAAAAAGAAAAAGAAAAGGAACUUUCCUCCUCAGCACAAUCCUAAGAGCUGAACGCAUCCAUCCACUCACCACUCCUCCUCUUCUCUUCCCUCGUUCCUCUCCUUUCUGUCGUCUCUCUCUAAUUAGUGCUUACACAGGGAGGCAGCAGCACAUGCGUCACACACACACACACACACACACACACACACACACACACACACACACACACACACACACACACACACACUGCCUCUCCCCCUCACACACACGGAAACUAGGUUUAGCUGGGCAAACGGAACAGCGGAGCUGACAGGUGUUUACAGGAGGAUAGCACACACGGGUACCGGCCUGAUAAAACAGCCGGCUGUGUAAACCUACCGCAUACUCAGUACACAAACACACUCUCACACACACACACACACACUCAAAUAUCUGUUACUCUAACUUCGAUCAGAUAAGCCAAGCUUAAUCAAUGCAAAUGAGCAGUCAGAGGAUCAUCCAUCCUCAUGCACAUCUAUAUUGCAAACACUUAUUACGGCUCGUAGUAUGUCAGGGUCUCUCGCUCCAUCUAUGUCAAAGGUCACCAUCCAUGUACUGAAUACAGUAAGCAGGCAAUACAAAUGUAUAUGAGAAAUAACUACAAUCAGUCACAAAAAUUAACAUUGUUAUACAAAUUUUAAAUACAUAUUGAAUGUACAAUUUUGAACACGAACACACACACACACACACACACACACACACACACACACACACACACACACACACACACACACACACACACACACACACACACACACACACACACACACACACACACACACACACACACACACACACACACAAUUCUGAAGGCCUUCUAAUGCUUUCUUCCCCCUCACACUUUUACUCCCCCCAAAAAAGUUUAUGAUGACUCCAGUUCCUUUUGAAACUCCCUACAGUUCUCAACCUUGACGAUCGAUUCCUGAGGAUUUCUGUUCACGCUUUUGAAUUUGCUACCAUCUCAUCAUGGUCUUGGGUUUUGUAAUGUUCUGUAGGUUUACUCAGACAUGCUAAAAGCCACAUCAAAACCGUGCGGUCCACACAGGCAUGAUUGACCACUUUUUCACAUGUCAAACGCAAAUGAAGACACACGCUUUCAGAGCCCAGAGGUAUUUAUGGACGCAUGCAAUCCAAAAUAACUAACAGCAGCACACUGAUUUACAACAAGUGGCAUUACUGUGUCAUGUAACGUUGGCUUCGGUUGGCAUUAGUUGGCAUUAGGGCACCACACUGGCAGCCACAGGGACUUGUAAGGGAGCUCACCUGGCACAGAACAACACAGAAACCCGCUCUCAUCUUUGCUGUAUGUAAUGUUUUAUUUAUUUAAUGCUUGCCACUUUUAGUUCUCCAUACUUUGUAUCGCUGAAAUGGGUAAAGGAGAAGUGGGACUUGUGUUUUAAACCGCAUCCAUGUCUAAAAAUAGAAUCAUAACCAUGCCUUCUUAUUUUAGGAUCGCCUCCCUCCCACCCACACUCCCAGUCCUGAGAAGGCUAAAUAAUUUACGGGAGCCAUCCAUGGAAAGGCAUCAUUUAUAAACCAGCCGGAGGAUAAACGAGGCAGGUGGUUAGUGUCACUCUGCUGACUGUGCCUCUACCACACACACUCUGCACAGACUCCAAUGGAGUCUCAACAGACACUCCAGCCAUGAUUCCAACAUGCAAUGGACUACAUCCCCCAGCACUGCUUACUCCAGCCAUGAUUCCAACAUGCAAUGGACUACAUCCCCCAGCACCCCCCUAGCCGCCAAGCACCUAUGACUCACUUCUUCAACAUAAGCCCCCAACACAUUUUUAAAUGAAGACUAACAUUCAGCAAAUGAAACAUACCCUAAAUACAUGCCUAACUUAACACAACCUCAAUACACAGCAAUGAGUAGGCCUACAAGAGCCAGCACAAGCUUCAAGACAGGCCCUACCAAUACCUACCUUCAGCGUGUGUGUGUGUGUGUGUGUGUGUGUGUGUGUGUGUGUGUGUGUGUGUUUUCUGCAUCAGACAGCAACAGUAUCUCAACCAGUAACAUUACACCCACCCAGAGCUCACAAACACGCAUCCAGACAUGGCAAAUGUCAUUAUAUCAAAUUAAGUAAGGCUGUCUGUUAGUGUGUGUGUGCACGUGUGUGCGAGUGUGUGUAUGUGUGCUUGUAUGGCUGCACUUGCUUUCUUAAAGAAACAUAACCUUAAAUUUCCCUCUGGAUAAAUAAAGUAUCCAUCUAACCAUGUGCAAGAAUAACCCACACACUGCACUGUGCUUUGGUUCCACGAGGCCGUGCCAUGACCCAUGACCCCAUGAAUUGCCGUACACAAAGCUUUACCCCCUGCUGCUCCAGAUACAUCCAUGACCCCCCGUAUACCACCAUAUACGUAUAUCACAGUAUAUUUGUAAAUCGCUUGAGAUUUUAAUGGAUUUUCUUAAUGGAUUUUUUGUAUAGGCUAGUGGAUUAUCCUACAUCAUCACACACGUCACUGCCACACACAGACACACACACACACAGACACAGACACACAGAGACACACACAGACUUUUCCCACACUCUGCACUCUCUGUGAAGUCCUGCCUGUUGCAGACAUGUGGGGUUCAUGUUUCCCGUGGGGCCCAAGGAAAAACACGGUCUUCCCUUACACCGCUGCUGAGAACAGAGCAGCUCUGGCCGGGCAGGCGUGUGUGUCAGCAUGUGUACGGAGCUCCAUGGGCUGUGGCUGAUGUACAUGAUAUAUUUUCAUUGGAGUCGAGAUACAGCCACAGGUACGUCGCUCUCUGCAGGAGGGGAGGGGAGAGGCCCGUUGGCUGAAGGGGAGUAGAGCAAGCUGGAGCUGCUGGGCACUUUAUGCAACUCUGCAUGUCUGUGUGACUGCAUGUGACUGCGUGUGUGUGUGUGUGUGAGUCAGUGUGUGUAAGCAUCGGUGUAUGCGUGUCAGUGUGUGUGUGUGUGUGUGUGUGUGUGUGUAAGCAUCGGUGUAUGUUUGUCAGUGUGUGUGUGUGUGUGUGUGUGUAAGCAUCGGUGUACGUGUAUCAGUGUGUGUGUGUGUGUGUGUGUGUGUGUGUGUGUGUGUGUGUGUAAGCAUCAGUGUAUUUGUGUCACAGUGUGUGUGUGUGUGUGUGUGUUUCUGAUACUUUGAGUGUAGGAGCUAACUGCUGAACUGAGGAAUGUCAUGUGAAUGACCUUGUGCCUUCCUAAAAAUGUGUCAAUAAAGUGUGUAUCGCUUAUUAUUCCUCUCACUUUGGACCUCCCUUCUCUGGUCUAUCUGUAUCCUUCACUUUCUCUCUCGUUAUCUAGCCCUGUCUCUCUCUCUCUCUAACACUUCUUAUACUCGCUCUUUUUCUCUUGACAAAGUGCCAACACGGUCAUUCUCAGAAGAGCGAGGAGGAAACUCAAUCCUUGCUUUUUUGAUUGACCGUUGACCCCUACAAACCAGCCGGCACUUGAGAGCGAUCUUCCUCCGCGUCACCACUGAAUGCCUUCAGAUGCAGGGCUGCUACUGGUUAAGCAGUACACACACACACACACACACACACACACACACACACACACACACACAUCUUAGUUCAGCACAGGUCUGCAUGUGGAGGGUGCUGAUCUGGAAUACUGAAACAAAGGCAGCACUUGAAACUGGACCUCUCCAGUUUUCAUUUUCUUUUUCUCUUCACCUCUUCGUUUCUCUCUCUCUGAUGAAAGGCGCUCCAUUUGUUAGACUUGCAUAAAGACAGGGGUUAUCUGUGCUAAGCCACAAUCACUCUGAUUAGUGGAACUGUGUCACCCCUACAUUAAGCUAAUGAGAGCUGACCUGCUGUCCAUUCAGCCGAGGGAAGACAGGAAGGACACAGCCUGCUGUGCGUGUAUGUGUGUAUGUGUGUGUGCGUGUAUGCGUGUGUGCGUGUGUGUGUGUGCGUGCGUAGAAGAGUCCAUGCAACAUAUGUCUGUCACUAAGUGCCUACGUCGGAGAGAGAACAAGUGUGAGUGUGUGCAAGAGUGUGUUUUCAUUCCAGACAUCCAGAUGAGGAUCUAAUUACAUUCUCAGACUGAAGAGGGAGAGCAGUUCACCUGAACAAAAUCCCCCCCUUGAGCCGUCAGACAAAACCUAACUAAUCACAGACAUAAACAUAGACAUAGACACACACAAACACACACACACACAGACACACAGACACACACACAGACACAGACACACACACGCAGACACACGCAGACACAGACACAGACACAGACACACGGACACAGACACACGGACACAGACACACGGACACAGACACACGGACACAGACACACGGACACAGACACAGACACAGACAUACAGACACACACCUCCUGGGGAGAGGGUGAAAGAGAACUCAUCAGUGUGGGGCAGCUUGUUUGUGUCCGCUUGUUAAACCAAACAAAACACCACAUUCUCCUUCCUGUUCAUCAGGCUGGUUCCACACUGACAGAAGGAGACAAACAGAGGAGGAAAGAGAGGAGAGACUCAUGACCAGUGCUCCGGAACGUCUUUCAUCUGUGGAUCUCGAGUCCCGAUCCGAUCAUGCCUUUUAUUUCAAAGUCGGAGCCUUUUCACACUCCACACACACACACACACAGACACAGACACACACACACACACACACACACACACACGUAUUACCUCUCACACACACAGUCCUCUCGGAAUCCUCACAUGAAACCAUCACACAUACUCCUCAUAACACACACACACACACUCUCAAGCCAGUCACCGCUCAAGGAGCACAGCUUUACAAGAACUGACAUGUACUAAAGUGUGUGUCACUUCCAGCACUGUCACUUGUGUUUGUGUGUUGGAGUGAGUGAGACAGAGACAGAGACAGAGACAGACUGAGAGAAACCUACCAGGGAUGCUCGAUUUCUUAGCUGUGCUCCUCUCUGUUCAGCUAAAGCUCACAUCCCAAGAGGUCAACUAGCGGCGGACAGAAGAUGGCCUGAGCCCACAGCCAAAUUAAUUUCCGUAUUGAAAGUAAGGAUGUGGAAUGGAGCAUAAUGUCCAGGCGGACACGUUCCCUCCUCUCACCCGCCAUUCACCACUGAAGCAACCACCAGUACCUGGGAGGGCCCCGAGACAAAAAUAUCCUGUACCAAAAUCUAAAGUUGAACCAAGUUCUAGCUUUUCCCCCUCUCCUUCUCUCCCUCCCUCCCUCACUUUCCCCUCUCUUCUACAUCAGAUGGACACACGAGAACCCAUUUCCAUUUUGGUUUUGUUCCAGUCUCUCAAGUUUCCACCAGCAUGACUUAUGGCGGACAUGCCGAGACCACAUUUCAUCCAUCAAGUGCAGGGACACUAGUCUUAGCUUUCUCCUAGCUUAGCUUAGCUAGUCUCCUCUAGUCCCUGGAAGAGGGCCAAUGUGCUCAUGCACACCCAUCAGUGGAGCGGCAGCAGGGUGGAGCUCAGAGCUGGAGGAACUGGGCAAGGGCAGCCCACAGCUCCAGCAGCAUUCCCACAACAUUCCCCUGGCCCUCCCGCCCCACGGCAGUGACCUGUGGUUUUAGGAACAAAACGCAGGAAUGCAAGUUAUGCAGGACGGCGGUGAAACAGAGGCAGGGCUGAGAUCACUGAGGAGUGAGUCUAGACACCUGUUGCUGCAGCAGAAGCACAGGCGUAGACACACACAGACACAGACACACACACACACACACACACACACACACACACACACAGUGGAUAUUCUAUACCACACACACUAUAAGUAGAUAUAUCUGGAAAUCAAACCCCACCCAGACCACACACAAUCAUCGGAUAUGUGUGGACACACACACACACACACACACACACAUUAUGACAUUUACAAAAACAGCUGCUCACCAACCAAAUAUGAUCAUAGCCAAUAGCUCCCUCCAGACAACCAACAAAAAACACAGGGCACACACACACACACACACACACACAUACAAACGCUCACACACACACACCAGUGUCUGCAUGAGACAGCAGUCGUGUGGAGAAUGUCUGGCCCCCUGAGGUACUCAGGCUAUUAAUACACUCAUGCUUGUAGAGCAAGAGCUCUGAGCCCUCAACCAUUAAUUGGGGUGGGGGGUGGGGGGGGACUAAGAGACUGCACGUUUGUGCAGAGGGUGUGUUUACAACAUUGCAACCAAGCCUAUAAUCUAGGGUGUGUCUAUGUGUUUGUGUGCAUAUGCUUCUAUGAUGAUGUCUGCAUUACCACUCCGUGUGUUCAAGAGGCAGGAAUGCCUGGCAUAUGCAAGUGUCUGAGUGUGAGUGUGUGUGUGUGUGUGUGUGUGUGGGACGGGGGGCUGGACGAGGACCCUUUAAGCCUGCUUGACCCUUUGUUGAGGUUACAGCCAUGACACUUCUCUCAUGAGCAUUAAUAGCCCCCUUCUAAUCCCCUCUGGAAUCUUUGGAUACUAGGGGAUUCCGCACGCACAGUGACAUCAGAGAGAUGAGAGGACAGGACAGACAGAGCGUUGAGAAGAAGAAGGUGGGGAAGAGUGAUGAAGAAAAGAGAGGAGGAGGAGAGAGGAGCACGUAGAGGGUGCAGUGUGAGAGUGCUGUAGAAUAGCUGAGGAUGUAGUGCCUGGUGUUCGCUCAUAGUUCUCUCCUUACUGACACUUUAAAAGGUCAAAUCCAGAUGAUCCCACAAAGCAGUGACAGCUAAGCGGUUGGCUGACACCUCAGGGAUAGAGAGGGGAGGGGACAGGAAAGAAAGAGUCAUGUAGUCAGGGGCCACACAGAACCUACCCUUGCCGCUCCAGGCGCUUCCUAAUGCACAUAGUAACUAGGGCUUGCUACCUGCAACUUUAAACACAUUGAGCUCUGCUUUAGACUUGUAGAGGCUAGCUUAACCUGUAGCUUGUUGAGCCACAAGUAGGGGUGUUCUUACCUGUGAACCCUAUUCACGCGCCUCUGAUAUUUCAGGAGCUGCAAUGAUCUAGUUAAAAGUUCCAUCUGAUUCCACAUUGUGCUUUUUUUUUUUUUUUCAUGUUGCAAUCAAACACUGAUAGGACCUCAUCAGAGAGAGAGUGUUUGUUUGUUUGUUUGUUUGUUUGUUUGUUUGUUUGAAACGAAAUAUGUAUUCUAGCUCUGACUUUGGAACUGUAAUAGAUAUUGCCAUCUGGGGAUUAUGAUAGAAUUUGCCACCAACAUGACCUAUCCCCCUUCUAAAACACAGACAACCUGAGGAGAGCACCAUUAACCCCAGGCUUGCUCUGCUUCACCAGGGUUUCUCCUUUGAGCUCCAGCUUUGAGGGUUUCGACAUUUCGGCUAACCAUGCCAUUGGUCUAUUCCAGACAAACUCCUUCAUUACUGUACUCUGACGGCUACCGUAAAAUGUGCAUAACAUUAUAUAUCUGUCUAUGAGUAUCAAACACAUAAUAUGAUUGACUGAGAAGUAUCAGGGAGGAGGCCCCUGGGACAGUGGCCAUCUCUGUAUGCAUUGAAUGAGGGUCUUAGAGACAGGUUAACCUUCAGCUUACCACACCACUUAGGUUAUCAUAAUGUGACCACAAAGGGUCAAGUUUGUUGUCUAACGAAGAGGACUCCCAUAAGGCAGAGAUGACCCACAUGGGACAGGAGCAUGCUGGGAGUCAUCAGACGACAGACACUCCCCUCCCUCCCUCCCUCCCAGCUCCCCUGUCUCUCAGGUCAAGGCCAAGGUUGCACUGCGCUGCUGGUUUAAAUGUGCUCCAUUAUUGAUUUUGUGUCCCCUGACGUUGCCCAGAAUAGUGCCUCAUGGUACCGUGCGUCUGCAGCCUCUCCUCUUUUCAUGUUUCUGCUGGUCUGUCUGUUGACUGAGGAACUGCACACAACCUAGGCUACCCUCUAGGCCUGCUAAAUUUCAUGAACCGAAAUAUAUAUAUGAAUGUUUCAGGUUUUUCUCCACUGGGUUUGUACAUUAAAGUUGCUGUGUGUGUGUGUGUGUGUGUGUGUGUGUGUGUGUGUGUGUGUGUGUGUGUGUGUGUGUGUGUGUGUAUAUAUAUUAUUUUUUAUUAUGUAUCGACUGUCGCUUGACUGUCAACUCAUCUUGUUUAUAAAUAGCAUGUAAAGGUUUAUGCAACCUAGCAGGAAUGUUUGACUCAUGAAAUAGAGUGUGGCGUAAAUUCAUGCUAGGCAAUAUCGCAAGAGGAUACAUGUCCGUUUACUAAGCAACUUUGUGUGUUACCAAAGUCGCCACUAGCUACUGCUACUGGCGCUGCUGUUGGCUGAGGAAUUCUGUUGCUUGCUCUGAGACACGGCGAUGUCCGUGUCAAGCCCGAUGUAAACAAUGUGGCGGAAGAAAGUAUUGAGACAACGUAGCUUUCAAGAAAAAAACGAUCUACCAAAGGGUAUCUACAUUCUUUCUGUUAAACAAAGGAGCAUGCGAGUAAUUAUCACAAACAAAGCAUCUUCCAGAAAGUGUGCAUACGCAGCGAGAUCUCCAAAUGAUCUCACUCAGUAAGGACAUAAUUACGAUACACUAUCUCAGCAACAACAUAACCAAAACCCAACCAUCUCCGUCCUUUUGCGCGGGCUAAACUGCACUGCAGGCGAAAGAGUAGGCUCUUGCAGGUUGUCUCAGCAGGUUGCAUGUUUACCACCGACCAACAGUUUACUAAUAUGAAAACGCAACAGAGACAUGGCUCAGCCCACGAGUUCCUCAACAGUGUCUCCUGUACUUACGAGCACUGCUUGUUGUGGGAUCCUCCUGUCACCGAGCUUCUUUCUUCACACUUCGCAUGAAACUUUUACUGCGCCCACGACUCUGGCGUGCACAAACUCCACAACCAGAAAAAAAAGAGUAAUGUUUCUCAAGUCGGUCGCGUUGUGAACUACCAGGUUGUUAUUUAUCCGUAUCUUCGCGACGCGAUUCUUACCAAGUGAGACGCCCAGUCCCGAAUCCCGACGCUCGUUCAAUGGGGCAGCCUUGCGGAAGCAAUCCUCUCCUUGAUUGGCCCGUCUCCCAGCAAAAGGGUGGUGCUCGUGCUGAAUACUCAGACCUUAGUGGUAGUCCCAAAUUAUCAAUCAUGUUCUUUCAUAGCUCGCGAUCAACAUUUGAAGUGUUAGGCUACCUCUUGUCUUAAAUAGAGUUUGGUAUGAUAUUAGCAAGCUGGAAUAUAAUGUCAAACAUUCAAUUUACUGAGCCUAUCCUCAUUACAAAUUAUAUUUCCACCGGCUGUCUGUUGUCCGCUUUCAAUUUUCAAAAAUGUCAACUAUGUUUAAACAGAAAGAAAGUUGGUCUAACUGGUUAUCCAGUUGGGUGGUCAAAAUAUUUUUUUUAGCUUUUUUAUGUUUUCGUCCUCUGCGUCAUGACGUUUGGGUAGGCUACUUUUAACAUUAUGAGUGGCAAAUCCACUUGCUCAGCCACGCAUUCUGUUACGCAACACCCUGGUCUGUCUUUGCAUGCAGGGCCGCUCUGCAGUCCAUGCGUGCCUGCCUGAUGCCCCAAGGAACUGAACAGCACGGGCCGGUCUACCGAGUAGGCUAGGCUUACAGGAUCAACUUCGUGGUAAUACUGAUCGUUUACUGCCUCACGGAAAUCGUUUUCGUUUGUUUUUUACAUGUAGCAGUGGUCGGCCACUGACAUAUAGUUUCCAGCAGACAAUUCUGACCUGAGUGAAUCUGAGUGCACGAGAGUCUCUGGGAGAGCUGGAAUAUUGAUUUUCAAAAAUGAAUUUCCCUUAAACCUGCAGUGGAAACUAGGCAUAUUCCUAUUAUGACACCUCAGGAUUUUCUGAAACUCAAACUGACAUGCUCCUCUGUUUCAACCUAGAAGCUUGACAUAACCGUAAUCCCACCUAAGUGAAAAUUUACCUACAAUUUAUCUUAUUUAAUUAGUCCUGACAACAGCAUCCACAGUUACCAUAACAAGGCGUUUUGAAAAAUAACCACAAAAGCAGGGCCUUCACUCUCCAUUAGAAGCUGAUUGUACAGCAGAUCCAACCAACCCACAUCCUAUUGUGCAUCUCUGCCUGUGUGUGUGUGUGUGUGUGUGUGUGUGUGUGUGUGUGUGUGUGUGUGUGUGUGUGUGUGUGUGAGCGAGUGAUAGAGUGUGUGUGUGUGAGAGAGAGAGGGAGAGAGACAUAGUAAGUAAGAGAGAGGAGAAGAUGAGCGGAAAGGUUGAGUGAAAAGUAACCCUUUCACAGUAACUUGAGCAAUCGUUAUGAGUU
ensembl:lncRNA